rnacentral:tRNA from 1 species
GGGCCUGUAGCUCAGUUGGUUAGAGCAGUGGACUCAUAAUCCAUUGGCGGGGGUUCGAGUCCUCCCCCCGGGGCCCCC